AUGCCAGCGGAGGGGUGUGCAAAAAUAAAUGCUGAUGGGGGUAUUUCCCUAGACCACAAUGUAGGUGCUGUUGCUGCUAUAUGUCGUGAUCGGGGAGGUAAUUAUAUGGGGUCGUCUAUUCUGGUUGUACAAGGAGCAACUGAUCCAGCUACAGUAGAAGCUUUGGCAUGUCGGGAAGCUCAAGCGUUGGCGAGGGAUUUGAGCUUGCAUCAUAUUUAGGUGGCUUUAUAUUGCAAGCAGGUCAUCUCACAUAUAAAGCAAGGAGUUGGAGGCAAUUAUGGGAGUAUUAUUAGAGAGGUGAUUGAAACUUCCAGAGUUUUCAUGGCUUGUAAUUUUAUGUUUGAACCUAGAUCUUCAAACCUUGAAGCUCAUAGGUUAGCUAGGUAUGGUGUUACUCUUUCUUUGGGGAGACACAUAUGGUUGCGGCAUCCUCAUGAUGCUGAUAUUAUCCCUGUAAACAUUCUAACCAUGCAAUAA
rnacentral:rRNA from 1 species